CAACCCUCAAGCUCAGCUUGGUCUUGGGCCCUGCCGGUAAAACGGCUGGCCUUAAAAGCAGUGGCGGUGCUAUCGAGCUCUACGCGUAGUAACAAAACCCUCGCGAUGGAGUCUCGGUGGACGCUGGCCAGCAACCCCAAUUUUUCUAUGG
rnacentral:misc_RNA from 1 species